rnacentral:rRNA from 1 species
UACGUAGGGUCCGAGCGUUGUCCGGAAUUACUGGGCGUAAAGAGCUCGUAGGUGGUUUGUCGCGUUGUUCGUGAAAACUCACAGCUCAACUGUGGGCGUGCGGGCGAUACGGGCAGACUGGAGUACUGCAGGGGAGACUGGAAUUCCUGGUGUAGCGGUGGAAUGCGCAGAUAUCAGGAGGAACACCGGUGGCGAAGGCGGUUCUCUGGGAAUAUCCUGACGCUGAGGAGCGAAAGUGUGGGGAGCGAACAGG